rnacentral:rRNA from 1 species
UACGUAGGGGGCAAGCGUUGUCCGGAUUUAUUGGGCGUAAAGCGCGCGUAGGCGGCGCGGUAUGUCGUGCGUGAAAUCUCCCGGCUUAACUGGGAGGGGCCGUGCGAAACUGCCGGGCUUGAGGUCGGAAGGGGAAAGUGGAAUUCCGGGUGUAGUGGUGGAAUACGUAGAUAUCCGGAGGAACACCAGCGGCGAAGGCGGCUUUCUGGUCCGAUACUGGCGCUGAGGUGCGAAAGCGUGGGGAGCGAUCCGG